AUACACCUACAGUACAAUAACAGACAUAUUGUAAAUAUAAGUUUGUUAAAUAACGGUUUUAACAUGAAUUACAAUUAUUGUAAACUAGAACUUGUGAUCUUCUGUGUUUUACUGGGAACAGUAACUGUUUUCGGUGAUGACAUAAAGGUGAACACCUGCUGCACAAAGACAAGCAAGAAUCGAAUUCCUACCCCCAUCACAGGUUACAUCCUCGAGGAAGAAGCACUGCCUUGUGUGGAAGCCGUGAUGUAAGAGCCUGCCUUUGAACAUUUACACAUCUUAGCAUUUCUGCUAAAAAAACUGUACAAUUCAAUGUAACAUUAAAGAGGCUCACAUAGAAGAAAACAGUUACAAGUAUAAGAUGAAUAUACACAAAGGAACCAGGAGUGUACUGUAAGUUCCCUUUAUUUUGUUUUUCAGAUUCAUUAGCGGCAGCAAGAAGUACUGCAGUGAUCCAAAUACCCGAUGGGCCAAAAAGAAGAUUGCAGAACUUCAGAAACUGGAGGUUCCAAAACUGCCAAACAAGGACUAAUAAUGACAUCGUUUGAGAAACAGAGGAUCCGUGGAUCUCACUUACAUCAGGCCACCGAAGAUAUCACUUCAUCACAAUUCUUGCUCCAUGGACACUUGUGUGCAAAACUAAAUGUUCACAUGAUGUAAUGGCAGCCAAUUACUCAGUGGUCAAUAGGAAGCAUGAAGCACUUCUAGGGCAUGUUCUCCGCGAGAUGUUGAAAAACCUCCCAUAAAUGAUAAGCUAAGUCCUAGUCAAUGUCUUAAAGAAACAAGUUCAAAAGAUUAUUGCAGCUUUAUGGGGAAUUGUAUUUUAAAAGUGACAUGCAGUCUUGUGUUUGAAUUAAGUUAACCAUUUAUUCAUCAAAAGUUUUAAAAUACUUUGUUUUCGGUAUUAUAAACAUACCCUAUUUAAAAAAAUAGAUAUUUAUUUUUAUACUGCA
rnacentral:lncRNA from 1 species